rnacentral:rRNA from 2 species
AACGCGUGGGAAUCUACCUUUUGCUACGGAACAACAGUUGGAAACGACUGCUAAUACCGUAUGUGCCCUUCGGGGGAAAGAUUUAUCGGCAAAGGAUGAGCCCGCGUUGGAUUAGCUAGUUGGUGAGGUAAAGGCUCACCAAGGCGACGAUCCAUAGCUGGUCUGAGAGGAUGAUCAGCCACACUGGGACUGAGACACGGCCCAGACUCCUACGGGAGGCAGCAGUGGGGAAUAUUGGACAAUGGGCGCAAGCCUGAUCCAGCCAUGCCGCGUGAGUGAUGAAGGCCCUAGGGUUGUAAAGCUCUUUCACCGGUGAAGAUAAUGACGGUAACCGGAGAAGAAGCCCCGGCUAACUUCGUGCCAGCAGCCGCGGUAAUACGAAAGGGGGCUAGCGUUGUUCGGAUUUACUGGGCGUAAAGCGCACGUAGCGGAUUUUUAAGUCAGGGGUGAAAUCCCGGGGCUCAACCCGGGAACUGCCUUUGAUACUGGAAGUCUGAGUAUGGUAGAGGUGAGUGGAAUUCCGAGUGGAGAGGUGAAAUUCGUAGAUAUUCGGAGGAACACCAGUGGCGAAGGCGGCUCACUGGACCAUAACUG